rnacentral:rRNA from 1 species
CCAGACUCCUACGGGAGGCAGCAGUGAGGGAUAUUGGGCAAUGGGGGAAACCCUGACCCAGCGACGCCGCGUGAGGGAAGACGGUCCUCGGAUUGUAAAGCUCUGUCUUCAGGGACGAUAAUGACGGUACCUGAGGAGGAAGCACCGGCUAACUCCGUGCCAGCAGCCGCGGUAAUACGGGGGGUGCAAGCGUUGUCCGGAAUCAUUGGGCGUAAAGCGUUCGUAGGCGGCAAGGUAAGUCUGAUGUUAAAGCCCGGGGCUCAACUCCGGUUCGGCAUUGGAUACUAUCUAGCUAGAAUGUGGUAGAGGUAAAGGGAAUUCCUGGUGUAGCGGUGAAAUGCGUAGAUAUCAGGAGGAACAUCGGUGGCGAAAGCGCUUUACUGGACCAUUAUUGACGCUGAGGAACGAAAGCCAGGGGAGCAAAUGGGAUUAGAUACCCCCGUA